UUGAAGAUGAAUCAAUCACUCAGGAAUCUUGUGCUUUGCAGAAAAGCGGACCUGUGAAGACUUUCUUUGCUGAGACAUGAAUGUGUGGAUGGGUGAUUUAAGUACUUCAGGACCUCAAGUUGAGAGCUACAUCUUCAAGUCUGCUCAAGGGCCGGUGCGGGGUCUGGAAGAGCUGGAGGGUGUGAUCCAAGUGAGCCGCCCAUUCCCUGCUGCAAUGCUCCCCGCUCCCUCUUCCAAGCCUUUCACGCACGGACUCAAACUCAGUUGUUGCUGAGCCCUGGAGAAGGAUUCAGGCUCAGUACAUUGGGAGCUCAGGCAGAUUUGGAUCUUGUUUGCCUCAGGACCACUGAGAUUUUGAUUAAUUAAGGCUUUAUUCCUUUUUCCUGCUUCAAUCUCCCUUCUAAUUUUCCAAUUUGAACUUACUUGAAUUUACCAGAUUGUACAGCCCUGCUUCAGGUAACCUGUUUGUUUGUGAA